CUGCAACUCGACUGCACGAAGCUGGAAUCGCUAGUAAUCGCGGAUCAGCACGCCGCGGUGAAUACGUUCCCGGGCCUUGUACACACCGCCCGUCACACCAUGGAAGUCUGCAAUGCCCGAAGCCGGUGGCCUAACCACUUAUGUGGAAGGAGCCGUCUAAGGCAGGGCAGAUGACUGGGGUGAAGUCGUAACAAGGUAAC
rnacentral:rRNA from 1 species